UGUAACCUACGGGGGGCAGCAGUAGGGAAUAUUGCUCAAUGGGGGAAACCCUGAAGCAGCGACGCCGCGUGGGUGAAGAAGCGCCUCGGCGCGUAAAGCCCUGUCAGCAGGGAAGAAAAUGACGGUACCUGAAGAAGAAGCCCCGGCUAACUACGUGCCAGCAGCCGCGGUAAUACGUAGGGGGCAAGCGUUAUCCGGAUUUACUGGGUGUAAAGGGGGCGCAGACGGCGAUGCAAGCCAGGAGUGAAAGCCCGGGGCCCAACCCCGUGACUGCUCUUGGAACUGCGUGGCUAGAGU
rnacentral:rRNA from 1 species